CCAUUAGAUGUUCUGGGCCGCACGCGUGCUACACUGAGUGGAUCAGCGGGUCAGGUUGCGCGAAAGUGUUUCCUAAUCUUGAAAUCCGCUCGUGAUGGGGAUUGACGGUUGCAAUUUUCCGUCAUGAACGAGGAAUACCUUGUAAGCGCGGGUCAUCAUCCCGCGCUGAAUACGUCCCUGCCCUUUGUACACACCGCCCGUCGCUCCUACCGAUUGAGUGGUCCGGUGAGGCUUUGGGAUCUGAGCAAAGAGAGCGUUUCGCUCGUUUUGCCCGGAAAACUCAGUCGAACCUUAUCAUUUAGAGGAAGGAGAAGUCGUAACA
rnacentral:rRNA from 1 species